CAUGCCUAAUACAUGCAAGUCGAACGAGAUCUUCGGAUCUAGUGGCGCACGGGUGCGUAACGCGUGGGAAUCUGCCCUUGGGUUCGGAAUAACAUCUGGAAACGGAUGCUAAUACCGGAUGAUGACGUAAGUCCAAAGAUUUAUCGCCCAAGGAUGAGCCCGCGUAGGAUUAGCUAGUUGGUGAGGUAAAGGCUCACCAAGGCUACGAUCCUUAGCUGGUCUGAGAGGAUGAUCAGCCACACUGGGACUGAGACACGGCCCAGACUCCUACGGGAGGCAGCAGUAGGGAAUAUUGGACAAUGGGGGCAACCCUGAUCCAGCAAUGCCGCGUGAGUGAUGAAGGCCUUAGGGUUGUAAAGCUCUUUUACCCGAGAUGAUAAUGACAGUAUCGGGAGAAUAAGCUCCGGCUAACUCCGUGCCAGCAGCCGCGGUAAUACGGAGGGAGCUAGCGUUGUUCGGAAUUACUGGGCGUAAAGCGCACGUAGGCGGUUAUUUAAGUCAGAGGUGAAAGCCCGGGGCUCAACCCCGGAACUGCCUUUGAGACUGGAUAACUUGAAUCCAGGAGAGGUGAGUGGAAUUCCGAGUGUAGAGGUGAAAUUCGUAGAUAUUCGGAAGAACACCAGUGGCGAAGGCGGCUCACUGGACUGGUAUUGACGCUGAGGUG
rnacentral:rRNA from 1 species